UGACAAGGUUGAAUAUAUUUUUGUUUAUCUAUAGGAUGGUGUCUGUAUGUUCUGCUGCCCAUAAAAAUGAUGAUGCAGAAUGUUGCACAAUGUUAUGGAGAUGCCUGUGGCACCUGGCCAAUUGAAAACUGCAGGAUGCCAGGCCGACAAGGAACAAAGUCCUCUGAUUUGUUGAGCAUUCUCCAGAGACCUGUUUCCAUGGUUCCUUGGUUGAAACGGACUGUCUCCUUCCUGUUUCACCCUGAACAAAUCUAUGCCUCCAUGUCAGACUCAUCUUUCCAAGGCAAGCACCAAAGAUCCCACUGGGGGAGAUCACUCAUCUUCCUUGGAGGACAGAAGUGCAUACUGAUCUGCACUUCUGCUUUACAUUACUCAAGUUUAGUUCUGCACCCAUAUAUGGAUACGAGAGAAAGAGGAAAGACCCACACUAAGUACCUAAAGGGUUGCAGCUCCA